UACGUAGGGAGCAAGCGUUGUCCGGAAUCAUUGGGCGUAAAGAGCGUGUAGGCGGCCCGAUAAGUCCGCUGUGAAAGUCCAGGGCUCAACCCUGGGAUGCCGGUGGAUACUGUCGGGCUCGAGUCCGGAAGAGGAGUGUGGAAUUCCUGGUGUAGCGGUGAAAUGCGCAGAUAUCAGGAGGAACACCAAUGGCGAAGGCAGCACUCUGGGACGUGACUGACGCUGAGACGCGAAAGCGUGGGGAGCAAACAGG
rnacentral:rRNA from 1 species